rnacentral:lncRNA from 1 species
AUAUCAAUGAAAAAUUUAUAUCUUUUUCAUCUACUGUAUGAUUUCUAAAAUAUUUAUGAAAUAUUUCUUUAAUCUUAUGUUCUUUAUUUUUAUCCUGUAGGUUAAGGAAACUAAAUAUACUUUGACAGUAUGUAAAAUAAUCAUUAGUUAUUCCAAUAUGUUUAGGUCGGGUUCCUAAAUAUAUUCCAACUAUUUGAUGUAUACCUAAAUAUUCUAUUCCACUCUUUAAGUGUAUUAAAAAUUUUCCA